UCGGGUGGCUGGAUCCGCCGGCGGGGAGGUCGUGGCUGCCAAAUCCGGUGGCCAAGGCCUCCCCUCCACCGGAACCGGCCCCGCGG
rnacentral:pre_miRNA from 1 species